UACGUAGGUGGCAAGCGUUGUCCGGAAUUACUGGGCGUAAAGCGUGCGCAGGCGGUUGUGCAAGACAGAUGUGAAAUCCCCGGGCUUAACCUGGGAACUGCAUUUGUGACUGCACAGCUGGAGUGCGGCAGAGGGGGAUGGAAUUCCGCGUGUAGCAGUGAAAUGCGUAGAUAUGCGGAGGAACACCGAUGGCGAAGGCAGCUCGCUGGGACGGUACUGACGCUAAGGCGCGAAAGCGUGGGGAGCAAACAGG
rnacentral:rRNA from 1 species